UCUGAAUUUGCAAGCAAUGACAAAGUUCUUUAUCACUGUAGCAUUCUUGCGCAAAUAUUUGAGCAAUGGUAGUACAAACAUAUUUUCACUUUGUUCUCCAUAAAAGUUGAUGAACUUGAUGGUCUUUAGAUGUGGCAAUGAACAUUUAAAACUAUAUAUUUCAAAUCUCCUCCGUCGUUCAUCAUGAUUUGUGUACUUUGA
rnacentral:lncRNA from 1 species